rnacentral:rRNA from 1 species
UACGUAGGGCGCAAGCGUUGUCCGGAAUUAUUGGGCGUAAAGAGCUCGUAGGCGGCUUGUCACGUCGGAUGUGAAAGCCCGGGGCUUAACUCCGGGUCUGCAUUCGAUACGGGCUGGCUAGAGUGUGGUAGGGGAGAUCGGAAUUCCUGGUGUAGCGGUGAAAUGCGCAGAUAUCAGGAAGAACACCGGUGGCGAAGGCGGCUCACUGGCUCGUUUCUGACGCUCAGGCGCGAUAGCGUGGGGAUCAAACAGG